rnacentral:rRNA from 1 species
CAAACUCCUACGGGAGGCAGCAGUGGGGAAUAUUGCACAAUGGGGGAAACCCUGAUGCAGCAAACGCCGCGUGAGUGAAGAAGUAUUUCGGUAUGUAAAGCUCUAUCAGCAGGGAAGAUAAUGACGGUACCUGACUAAGAAGCUCCGGCUAAAUACGUGC